UACGAAGGGGGGCUAGCGUUGUUCGGAAUUACUGGGCGUAAAGGGCGCGUAGGCGGCUUCGCUAGUCGGGCGUGAAAUGCCUGGGCUUAACCCCGGGAAUUGCGUUCGAUACUUCGAGGCUAGAGUGUGGGAGAGGUUGGUGGAAUUCCCAGUGUAGAGGUGAAAUUCGUAGAUAUUGGGAAGAACACCGGUGGCGAAGGCGGCCAACUGGACCACAACUGACGCUGAGGCGCGAAAGCGUGGGGAGCAAACAGG
rnacentral:rRNA from 1 species